rnacentral:rRNA from 1 species
GCUCAGGAUGAACGCUAGCGGCAGGCUUAACACAUGCAAGUCGAGGGGUAGAGGCCUUCGGGCCUUGAGACCGGCGCACGGGUGCGUAACGCGUAUGCAAUCUGCCUUCCACAGAGGGAUAGCCCAGAGAAAUUUGGAUUAAUACCUCAUAGCAUCAUGACCCGGCAUCGGGAUAUGAUUAAAGUCACAACGGUGGAAGAUGAGCAUGCGUCCCAUUAGCUAGUUGGUAAGGUAAUGGCUUACCAAGGCUACGAUGGGUAGGGGUCCUGAGAGGGAGAUCCCCCACACUGGUACUGAGACACGGACCAGACUCCUACGGGAGGCAGCAGUGAGGAAUAUUGGUCAAUGGGCGCAAGCCUGAACCAGCCAUGCCGCGUGCAGGAUGACGGUCCUAUGGAUUGUAAACUGCUUUUGUACGGGAAGAAACCCUCCUACGUGUAGGAGCUUGACGGUACCGUAAGAAUAAGGAUCGGCUAACUCCGUGCCAGCAGCCGCGGUAAUACGGAGGAUCCAAGCGUUAUCCGGAAUCAUUGGGUUUAAAGGGUCUGUAGGCGGUCUUGUAAGUCAGUGGUGAAAGCCCAUCGCUCAACGGUGGAACGGCCAUUGAUACUGCUGGACUUGAAUUAUUGGGAAGCAACUAGAAUAUGUAGUGUAGCGGUGAAAUGCUUAGAGAUUACAUGGAAUACCAAUUGCGAAGGCAGGUUGCUACCAAUGGAUUGACGCUGAUGGACGAAAGCGUGGGUAGCGAACAGGAUUAGAUACCCUGGUAGUCCACGCCGUAAACGAUGGAUACUAGCUGUUGGGCGCAAGUUCAGUGGCUAAGCGAAAGUGAUAAGUAUCCCACCCUGGGGAGUACGAACGC